rnacentral:rRNA from 1 species
UACGAAGGGGGCUAGCGUUGCUCGGAAUCACUGGGCGUAAAGGGUGCGUAGGCGGGUCUUUAAGUCAGGGGUGAAAUCCUGGAGCUCAACUCCAGAACUGCCUUUGAUACUGAAGAUCUUGAGUUCGGGAGAGGUGAGUGGAACUGCGAGUGUAGAGGUGAAAUUCGUAGAUAUUCGCAAGAACACCAGUGGCGAAGGCGGCUCACUGGCCCGGUACUGACGCUGAGGUGCGAAAGCGUGGGAGCAAACAGG